UUUUUUUUUUUUUUCGGAUCCUAAUAGAAAAAGUUGGGAUCAAAGUACUGUGCACACACAGCUUAAAAGGUAUUAUCAUCUACAGUUGUAAUAGUGCCUCUGACUAGCCUUCUUCAACACUCCCUGCCAUUCCCUUCCCUCCCCUCCACCCCCUCACUCCUACCAAAGCAACAAUUUAAAGAGUUUUUAGGUGUACAGGAAAGAAAAAGGAGAACCUACAAACUUGAUUUCACCCAGGCUGACUUCCUUAAACCAGUACCAUGACUUCUGUUCUAUGAUGCCUCGUGUGCAUGGAAUAUUUUAUCUCUUUCACAUUUUUUCCUGUACUAAAUAAAUUAGUAUUCUAAUUUACUUAUAUACAGGAUCAUGAAAUUGGUAAAAUAUACUGCAUCUUGUGAAUACCUACAAAAUUCAGGCAGGAAUAAAGAUGAAUAAAUAGUUAAAGAUUAUUAUUUUAGCUCUUCUUGUCCAUCUAUUUAUAAGCUUCUGUGUGUCUUUAAAAUUUCCUCUAAUACGUUGCUUCAACCACCUAUGGGCCAAUGCAUACAAAACAUAGCUAAAAGGUACUGAGCUCUUCAUUAAAAUUAAAUCAUUAAUCAGGGAGUUCUCUUCAUGGCUCAGUGGUUAACAAACCCAACUAGGAUCCAUGAGGAUGAGGUGUUCUAUCCCUGACCUCACUCAGUGGGUUAAGGAUCCAGCGUUGCCAUGAGCUAUGGUGAAGGUCACAGAUGCGGCUCGGAUCUGACAUUGCUGCGGCUAUGAAGUAGGCCAGCAGCUGCAGCUCCAAUUAGACCUUAGCAUGGGAACUUCCAUAUGCCUUGAGUGUCACCCUAAAAAGCAAAAAAAAAAAAAGCAAAAAAAAAAGUCAAUCAGAAAAAAAAAGAUUACUUUUUUAAAAUAUCAUAAUUUGGUGGCCUCUUAUCAGAGUCACAAUAAAACCCCAAAAGCUAUAGGUUGUUGUUGUUGUUGUUUUUUUUCCACUUUUGAUUUUGAAAUAACUUUAAGCUAAGGAAGUUUUGUUUUUUGUUUUUUUUCUGUCUUUUUGCUAUUUUUGGGGGCCACUCCCGUGGCAUAUGGAGCAGCCCUAGAAAAGGCAAAAAGCCAAAAAAAAAAAAAGAAAGAAAGAAAGAAAAAAAAGACACAUGUACUCCAAUGUUCAUUGCAGCACUCUAUACAAUAGCCAAGACAUGGAAACAACCUAAAUGUCCAUCCACAGAGGAGUGGAUAAAGAAGAUGUGGUACAUUUACACAAUGGAAUAUUACUCAGCCAUUAAAAAGAAAACAAAGAAUGGCUUUUGCAGCAACAUGGAUGGACCUAGAAAUUAUCAUGCUAAGUGAAGACAGACAUCAAGACACCAACACCAUAUGCUACAACUUACAUGUGGUAUCUCAAAAAAGGUCACAAUGAACUCCUUUACAGAACAGAUACUGACCCACAGACUUUGAAAAACUUAUGGUUUCCAAAUGAGACAGGUUAGGGGGUGGGGGGAUGCAUUGGAGUUUGAGAUGGAAAUUCUAUAAAAUUUAUGAUGAUCGUUGUACAAAUAUAAAUGUAAUAAAAUUCAUUGAGUAAUAAAAAAUAAAAAAAAAGAACACUAUCUCAGCUAUGCCCUUCUUGGUGCAUCAUGAUGUUGAUAUGUCUUGUGAUAUAACUUUGAUCACCUGCUUAACUUGGUGUCUGCUAGUUUUCUUCACUAUAAAAAUAUAGAUUUCCUCUUUGUAAUUAAAUAAUCAUGUGUGGGAGCCACUCUGAGACUCUGCAAGUGUUCUUACAUCUGAUAUAUACAUACAUUUCUCAUCAUACUCUGCCCCACUAAUUUUGGCUUGCUUGCAACAGCUAUUAUUGUGAGGUUUGCCUACUGGUGAUUUUCCAUCUCCAUCAUACCUUCUACAUUCUUUAUUGGAGUUCUACUGUAACAAAGAGCUGUCUCUUCUCCUCCAUCUAUUUAUUUGAUAAUUGACAUAUAUUGGCAUUAGUUCAUGGAUAUUUUUCCCCCAGAGGUUAUAAUCUCUUUUUAUUUUGUUCUUCAAAUUGUUCCACUAGGACUCCUUUAUGAGUGCAUUCAUUAGACCUCCUUCUGAAUUGUAAAUGCCACUUCAGUUGGGGAAGAGCAAGUAAUUUCUCUGAAUGAGGGAUCACACAUGGUAAGACUAACUUUACCACUUACAUUACGAUAAAAAAAAUCGUUUUUAUGGAAAAGAACUAUAUAUAUUGAAAUAUCCCAAAUGUGGUGUAAUCUCUCAACUCUUGUUCAUCCAAGACCUAAUGGCCUUUGAUCUUUAUUUUAUACAUAUUAUUGAAUUUUCUCAUAUUUAAAUUUUCAAAAAAUUUAAAUUUCAUAUUUAGAAGCUAAAUUUUCUCAGUAUUUAAAUCCACCUUCCCUUACACCACCCCCUCCCCAAAUAUUUUUGGCAUUUCAAGAACACAGCCCAAACCACUAGAAAUUCAUAUUAGUCAAAAUUGAUAAUAAGUCUUAAUUAUGCUGAGUGAAAAAAAAGUCAAUCCAAAAAGUCAAAUACUCUAUGAUUCUAUUUACAUAACAUUCUUGAAAUGACAAAAUAAUAGCGAUGGAGAAGAGAGCAGAUGAGUCCUUGCCAGAGGCAAGACUGGGGAGUGACUGUGUCUAUAAAAAAGGCCAAUAAGGAGGAUCCUUGUUGUGACAGAAUUCUUCUGCUUCUAGAUUUCAUCAAUGUCAGUACCCUGGCUGUGAUAUCACAUUACAGUUGUGUAAGAGAUUAUAAUGAGAAAAACUGGAUAAAAGGUACAGAGGACCUCAGCAUUAUUUCUUACAACUGCUUGAGAAUCUACAAUUAUCUCAAACAACAACAAAAAAAUAGUGAUAAUGAGUUUCAACCCUGGCUUGAAUACUCAGGAGAGAUAAGAUAAUCACCAUCAUACCCCAACCCUGGAGAUCCACUGAUUGCCACUAUCGGGUCUCCCCAGAAUAACCAGCUGAUGGCUAAUUCUUCUUCAGGGUGUCUUCUUUCUGAUUAGCCUUUAUGUGAGUGGGAAUAAGUACCAUGAGUUAGGGAAGAACAGAAAAGUGCCAAGGAUCAAUAAGUGUUGGUUUGUCAACUGAACUACUAGCAGUUAACAGUCAAAAUGUAAUAUUUAGCUCAUAAUGAAUAUUUGAAAAAAAAAAAAUCUUUUCUUUUCACAGCCACACCUGCAGCAUAUGGAAGUUCCCAGGCUAGGGGUCGAAAUCAGAACUGCAGAUGCCAGCCUAUACCACAGUCAUGGCAACAGUGGAACUGAGCUGCAUCUGUGAACCUACACUGCAGUCUGCAGCAACAGUGGAUCCUUAACCCACUGAGAGAGGCCAGAGAUCAAAUCCAUAUCCUCAUGGACACUAUGUCAGGUUCUUAACCCACUGAGCCAUAACAGGAAUCCCCAUAUUUGAGAAAUUCUAAACCUUCACCACCAAUUAUUUUCAACAUGUAGGACACAAGCAGUGAGAAAUGUAGCAGGAGGGAAGAUGGUUUUAGUUCCAAUGACAAAACAAGGUUCCUGUUCAAGCCACUAACACCAACUCCUCCAAAGUACUUUUUAUUGCUUAACAGAGGUAAAAGCACAGAAAUGGUGGUGGCAAGAGAACUUAAAACCAACUCGGACUAAACCACCAGCUCUACAAACACUAACCCUCCACAAUCAUCACAAAUGACUGAGGAAGAAAACACCCCAACACGGCAAGAAACACAUCCUUCAUCACAGUUCAGUAAAUAGUGGUUAAUUAACAAUGUGAGACCAGAUGUGGGUUUUUUUUUUUUCUGAAAAGAUAAAAAUCCUAACAGUCAAAAUAAUGUAAUCAUCAGUUUGUUUUUCUCUCCACAAAGGCUGACAUUAUAACCAUUAAGCAUAUUUAGUAACUACAUAUAUUCGAGCUCUGAUAAAGGUACAGAAGACCAAUUACUACAAAUUGCUGCCCCUUCCCAAUUUCAGUAUUAAUCUAUCUAAACAGAAAAUGGUGUAGGGGACAAGAAACUGCCCUCACAGAUGCCUACAAUCGUUACCUUGUGCUGUCCCAAGUCAAUAGAGAGUUUCAAACCACAUGUUCCUCACCUCCUCCAGAGGAUGCAAUGGUUGUAAUCACAUUACCAUUACAGAUUAAUACUAAUAUACUAAGCUUAAUAAUAUGAUAAAUUAGGUAUUUCAUAUUAGAUUCCAGCAUGGACAUGUAGAAGACAUCAAAGUUUAUAUCACAUUUAGAAUGGAUAAGCAGGAGUUCCUGUCAUGGCGCAGUGGUUAAUGAAUCUGACUAGGAACCAUGAGGUUGCAGGUUUGAUCCCUGCUCUUGCUCAGUGGGUUAAGGAUCUGGCAUUGCCAUGAGCUGUGGUGGAGGUCGCAGACAAGGCUCGGAUCCCUCAUUGCUGUGGCUCUGGCGUAGGCCAGCGGCUACAGCUCCAAUUAGAUCCCUAGCCUGGGAACCUCCAUAUGCCACGGGAGCAGCCCCAGAAAAGGCAAAAAGACCAAAAAAAAAAAAAAAAAAGAAUGGAUAAGUAAUGGAGUCCUACUGUAUACCACAGAGAACUACAUCCAAUUUCUUGGGAUAAACUAUGAUGGAAAAUAAUGUAUAUAGAUGUAUGCAUGGGUCACUUUCCUGGACAGCAGAAAAGUGCUAUAUAAAUGUACAUGUGGGUCACUUUGCUGUACAGCAGAAACUGGCACAACACUGUAUCGACUACUUUAAUAAAAAAAAUUUAAAGACAUCAAAAUUUAGAGGAAAAAAAUUUUUCUAAAAAUCUUAAAAACCAAGAAAAUUCUAUUCAACAACUUGGAUUUUUUUCCCCUAUGAACUAAGAAAUGUCCAUCAUUGCCACCUGCCAUGAUAAAGAGGUACUGGCAUAAAUGUGUGCAUAGGAUGUAUGAUACAAUAAGCAGCUGAUGGAAACAUGCACAGAGACAGCCUGUCCAGAAGACUGGACUCCUGCAAUAUUUCUAGCCCAUUUCGAUUGUGUCUCUUGGGCUCUCAACCAUCUCAAGUCUGGAGAGCAGACCUCUGCCUUUAACAGGACUCCUGUCUCCUCUCUCUCAAACCACAAGCUUCUACACUACAUGCAGUCACUUGCUGUCUACCGCUCAAUCCUAUGGCUCCAAAUGCACUGAACAAAGGUCCACACGUAUUUUCCUAAACCACGCAUGCUGCUGAGAUGACUGUGGGCUAGUCUGGAGAAUCUUUCAUAUCCCCC
rnacentral:lncRNA from 1 species